rnacentral:rRNA from 1 species
UUGGUCAUUUAGAGGAAGUAAAAGUCGUAACAAGGUCUCCGUAGGUGAACCUGCGGAGGGGAUCAUUACCGAGUUAGGGUCUCUUUGGCCCGACCUCCCAACCCUUUGUCUACUUGACCAUCGUUGCUUCGGCGAGCCCGUCCUCACGGACCGCCGGAGGGACCUUUACAGGCCCUCUGGCCCGCGCUCGUCGGUGGCCCAACCUUUAAAAUCUUAACUAAACGUGCCUUAAUCUAAGUACAAUUAUUAAAUUAAAGCAAAACUUUCAACAACGGAUCUCUUGGUUCUGGCAUCGAUGAAGAACGCAGCGAAAUGCGAUAAGUAAUGCGAAUUGCAGAAUUCCAGUGAGUCAUCGAAUCUUUGAACGCACAUUGCGCCCUUUGGUAUUCCGAAGGGCAUGCCUGUUCGAGCGUCAUUAUCACCCCUCAAGCCCCUGGCUUGGUGUUGGACGGUUUGGUGGAGGCCCCCUCGGGGGCUCCUGCCCCUCCCAAAGACAAUGACGGCGGCCUCGUUGGACCCCCGGUACACUGAGUUCUUCACGGGACACGUACCGGACACAUGGGUUUACGGGACACGGUCUGCCUCCCCUCAGGGAGAAUCUUUCUAAGGUUGACCUCGGAUCAGGUAGGGAUACCCGCUGAACUUAAGCAUAUCAAUAAGCGGAGGAAAAGAAACCAACAGGGAUUGCCCCAGUAACGGCGA